ensembl:snRNA U4 U4 spliceosomal RNA
AGCUUUGCACAGUGGCAGUAUCAUAGCCAAUGAGGUUUAUCCAAGGCAUGAUUAUUGCUAAUUGAAAAAUGCACAUUCUAGAGCUAUUAAAUGCACAUCACAGAGCUACUGAAUUGGAAUUUUUAAUGAGAUAGGGGCAUC